rnacentral:snRNA from 1 species
GUGCUUGCUUCAGCAGCACAAAUACUAAAACUGAAAUGAUACAGGGAAGAUUAGCAUGGUCCCUUUGCAAAGAUGAUACACAAAUUUGUGAAACGUUCCAUAUUUUA